UACGGGGGGAGCAAGCGUUGUUCGGAUUUACUGGGCGUAAAGAGCGCGUAGGCGGCCAGCACAAGUCAGUUGUGAAAUCUCCGAGCUUAACUCGGAAAGGUCAACUGAUACUGUGCGGCUAGAGUGCAGAAGGGGCAACUGGAAUUCUUGGUGUAGCGGUGAAAUGCGUAGAUAUCAAGAGGAACACCUGCGGCGAAGGCGGGUUGCUGGGCUGACACUGACGCUGAAGCGCGAAAGCUAGGGGAGCGAACGGG
rnacentral:rRNA from 1 species